AGUUUCUAUACCUAAUUAAAAACACAUUACAGAAUUGAAAGGGACUUCACCCUUAGCCAUCCCUCUCAAAAGGAACUUCACCUCAGAACCUCCAUCAACCUCCGACUCUGCCAUCGUCCCGCCGUCAACCUCCGCAGUAGAACCUCCAACUCUAUAACAGCUACGGUCGUCAAAAACCACCUCCUUCUACAGCAGCCAACAACAACCACCAUCCCACCGUCAACAAAAUCAUUCCAGCUCUUCGACUAGUUCUGAGAUUUGAUUUUCUUUUUUCUUCACCCAUAAACUUUAUCUCCACCACUAGAAACAACCACCUCUUUCUAUUAAUCCAAGCUCCGCAUUUUCAAAUAGUCCCAAAAUUCUAGGAUUUUUUCUCUACUAAGCUCGACUACCACUUCUUGUUCUCACAGAGCCCUAAUUCUAGGUUUUUGCUUGACUCUCGCGAAUUUUCUGAUUUACAUUCUUCUUUUAUUUUUUUGCAAUUUCUCAAUAGUUGAUCCAUAAUUUGCAAAUUUCAUUAGUGAGGAAGAAAUUACAACUGGUAGUUGUAGGAUAAAUCGCAAGAACUGCUUUGGCAGACUUGCGAGUCCCGUAACUCAGCUAUAUUUUCUGUAUAACCUUAGCUUUUGGUGGUUUAUUGGAGCUUGAACAUCCAAGUUUGUGCAGGUGGAGUGGAUCACGAAAUGGAAGAUGAUGGCAAUGAAGAACUAGACCUUACUUGAGAUGAAUUUUGAAUUGCUAUGAUGAAAGUUCUAGGAAUCUUUUGUUAUCAACAUUUUGAAACUUACUCUCUAGAAAUGUAUUAAACUUAUGCACUUGGGGUAACGUUUGCUUUAUGAAUAUUAUUAGCUUGAUGGAUUAUUUAUAUGAUUAAUAGUUUUA